GACGAACGCUGGCGGCGUGCCUAAUACAUGCAAGUUGAGCGCUGAAGGUUGGUACUUGUACCAACUGGAUGAGCAGCGAACGGGUGAGUAACGCGUGGGGAAUCUGCCUUUGAGCGGGGGACAACAUUUGGAAACGAAUGCUAAUACCGCAUAAAAACUUUAAACACAAGUUUUAAGUUUGAAAGAUGCAAUUGCAUCACUCAAAGAUGAUCCCGCGUUGUAUUAGCUAGUUGGUGAGGUAAAGGCUCACCAAGGCGAUGAUACAUAGCCGACCUGAGAGGGUGAUCGGCCACAUUGGGACUGAGACACGGCCCAAACUCCUACGGGAGGCAGCAGUAGGGAAUCUUCGGCAAUGGACGAAAGUCUGACCGAGCAACGCCGCGUGAGUGAAGAAGGGUGUCGGAUCGUAAAGCUCUGUUGGUAGAGAAGAACGUUGGUGAGAGUGGAAAGCUCAUCAAGUGACGGUAACUACCCAGAAAGGGACGGCUAACUACGUG
rnacentral:rRNA from 1 species